rnacentral:rRNA from 1 species
AGCGGAGGAAAAGAAACCAACAGGGAUUGCCCUAGUAACGGCGAGUGAAGCGGCAACAGCUCAAAUUUGAAAUCUGGCCUCGGGCCCGAGUUGUAAUUUGCAGAGGAUGCUUUUGGCGCGGUGCCUUCCGAGUUCCCUGGAACGGGACGCCACAGAGGGUGAGAGCCCCGUAUGGUCGGACACCAAGCCUUUGCAAAGCUCCUUCGACGAGUCGAGUAGUUUGGGAAUGCUGCUCAAAAUGGGAGGUAAAUCUCUUCUAAAGCUAAAUACCGGCCAGAGACCGAUAGCGCACAAGUAGAGUGAUCGAAAGAUGAAAAGCACCUUGAAAAGGGGGUUAAACAGUACGUGAAAUUGUUGAAAGGGAAGGGCUCGUGACCAGACUUGUGCCAGGCGGCUCAUCCGGCGUUCUCGUCGGUGCACUCCGCCUGGCUCAGGCCAGCAUCGGUUCUUGCCGGGGGAUAAGAGCUUCGGGAACGUGGCCCCCUUCGGGGGUGUUAUAGCCCGUUGCACGAUGCCCUGGCGGGGACCGAGGUUCGCGCUCCGCAAGGAUGCUGGCGUAAUGGUCACCAACCACCCGUCUUGAAACACGGACCAAGGAGUCGUCCAUCAGAGCGAGCGUUUGGGUGUAAAACCCGCACGCGUAAUGAAAGUGAACGCAGGUGAGAGCUUCGGCGCAUCAUCGACCGAUCCUGAUGUCUUCGGAUGGAUUUGAGUAAGAGUUUUGCUGGACGGACCCGAAAGACAGUGAACUAUGCUUGUAUAGGGUGAAGCCAGAGGAAACUCUGGUGGAGGCUCGCAGCGGUUCUGACGUGCAAAUCGAUCGUCAAAUAUGAGCAUGGGGGCGAAAGACUAAUCGAACUGUCU